rnacentral:lncRNA from 1 species
GAACAACAAGCUAUAAAAAGCCCCAAAAUUACAAGUGUAAAACCAUUCAAACGAGAAAAACCAACGGUCCAAUCUAUAUAAAAUAAACGAGAAACGAGAAACAAAUGUAAAUUACAUAAACAAACAACAACUACUGGACAUCAAAUUCCUGACUUAGGACAGGUGCAAACAUUUUGCAACGGGAUUAAACGUCGUAUCUCCAAUACAUGUAAUUAAGGUGUUUAAAACAACCCUCAUCUGUUAACUGUAAAGAAUUUUUUUAAGACCUAAUUGGUUCUUAUAUACGCAGACAAUUGAUAAUUA